rnacentral:rRNA from 1 species
GAGUUUGAUCCUGGCUCAGAUUGAACGCUGGCGGCAGGCCUAACACAUGCAAGUCGAGCGGAUGACGGGAGCUUGCUCCUUGAUUCAGCGGCGGACGGGUGAGUAAUGCCUAGGAAUCUGCCUGGUAGUGGGGGACAACGUUUCGAAAGGAACGCUAAUACCGCAUACGUCCUACGGGAGAAAGCAGGGGACCUUCGGGCCUUGCGCUAUCAGAUGAGCCUAGGUCGGAUUAGCUAGUUGGUGGGGUAAUGGCUCACCAAGGCGACGAUCCGUAACUGGUCUGAGAGGAUGAUCAGUCACACUGGAACUGAGACACGGUCCAGACUCCUACGGGAGGCAGCAGUGGGGAAUAUUGGACAAUGGGCGAAAGCCUGAUCCAGCCAUGCCGCGUGUGUGAAGAAGGUCUUCGGAUUGUAAAGCACUUUAAGUUGGGAGGAAGGGCAGUAAGUUAAUACCUUGCUGUUUUGACGUUACCGACAGAAUAAGCACCGGCUAACUCUGUGCCAG